UACAGAGGUCCCAAGCGUUACUGAGAAUCACUGGGUUUAAAGGGUGCGUAGGUGGUCCGUUAAGUUCGUUGUGAAAUCCCUGGGCUCAACCCAGGAACGGCUUCGAAUACUGGCGGACUUGAGGCCGGUAGGGGUCACUGGAACUGACGGUGGAGCGGUGAAAUGCGUAGAUAUCGUCAGGAACGCCGAUGGUGAAGACAGGUGACUGGGCCGGUUCUGACACUGAGGCACGAAAGCGUGGGGAGCGAACGGG
rnacentral:rRNA from 1 species